rnacentral:rRNA from 1 species
AGUAACGCGUGAGGAACCUGCCUCAAAGAGGGGGACAACAGUUGGAAACGACUGCUAAUACCGCAUAAGCCCACAGCUCGGCAUCGAGCAGAGGGAAAAGGAGCAAUCCGCUUUGAGAUGGCCUCGCGUCCGAUUAGCUAGUUGGUGAGGUAAUGGCCCACCAAGGCGACGAUCGGUAGCCGGACUGAGAGGUUGAACGGCCACAUUGGGACUGAGACACGGCCCAG